rnacentral:lncRNA from 1 species
AUGCCCGAUUUCAUCAUCAAAUCCCUUCCCAACAAGUUAGUCCCUGCCUUUGGUACAUACAGUAAUUGCCCAGUAAUCAUUUUAUCCCCUACUCUCAGCCUGGUAUCCCCCAAAAGUGGGGCUGUUAUCCCAGCCCCUUCUACCCCCAUCACUUUUAGGGUUUCAUCAGUUAAUUUAAUCCCUGAUACUUUACAGGCCAGUAAUGACCUAGCUGCCCCAAUGUAUUGGGUUCAAUGGCAAGGUUCUGGGGGGUUCUGCAGUGGCAGCCCCCACGAGAAGAAUCCAGAAGCCUCCCUGUGGCAGAUAAGGGACAAUUUCAGCCGGCCCCAGAGGGGCCCACCGCUGCCCAGAGCCAAGCCAUGAGCAACACAGUCCGUGCCUCUGUGAGAGCACAUCCAAGAAAAUGAAAACAAACAAACAAAAACCUGCUGCUCAACAGCAGCUGAGAGAGCGAGGAGCGAGAAACCUCCCCACAGACACCAAAGUCAGCGCAGAAGGAGGGGGAGGAGGCGCUCCAGGCACCGGAGCCGAAGCCCCCCUGCGGCCUGUGGAGAGGCCCCUGGUGGAGCAGGCUGUCCCCCCUGUCCCGCCCCUCCCUGAUACUUGGGAAAUUGAUCAAACACCACAGCAAAUAUACCAAAACUUCUAGACUGUUACUUAGAUAAUGCCUACGUCCUCUUUCCCUGCUCAUUCAACUUCAAACAGCUCUGUCAAACACUACAUACUACACCUUUAACACCUUCAAUAACUCUUUUUAACACUUCUUUUUAUCUUUCUCCAGCCUGUACUUUCACCAAAGGCUCCGUCAAGGGGCAAAUUAAUUCCAUGCUUUUUUUCCCUCCAGGAUGCUGAAACAACAUAUCAGUAUACUAUAUUUCAUCCCAUUUUCCUUCUCUCCUCCUUCCACUCCAGAUAUUCCUAUUUGAAGUGGCCAGCCUGGCCACACUUAAAACAUCCUAUCAAAGCCUGUCUCUGCUAGAAUUCAGGCUGCAACACAGGUAGCUUUCCUUGCCUGCCAUUACUUCAUCUCUCUUCCUCUCCCUUCCAUUCUGGCCCUGACUCCCCCUGAAGAUUUUCUUCCUCUUUCUCCAACUCUCUGCCUCACUACCCGCUACACUGUCAAUACCAUUAGUUUCGCUCUCUGCUUUUCCUUCUCAUCUCCCCUCCUGAUGCACACCUUCAGGGCCUCCCGCAGGAGGGUCCCCCAGUGACUGUUCACUACAUCCCCCCACCUUCUGGAGCUUUUUCUAAGUAUUUUGCCAGGCUUUAAUCACAAAACGAACUUUCAAGAGCCCUUGGGAUACCGGGUCCUCGGGAUUCAUCCCCGAGUACUUUCUCAUUCUGACCCCAAGUCUCUUAUAUG